GGUUUCUCUGAUGAUGAGGGUGGGUGGGCAAUCUGUAAAUGACAGUAACUGGGUGUGUGUCUGUCCAUGCAUCUACACACAGGUGCAUGGAUUCUGCCUCCAUAAGGGUUUUCUGCCCACAAGUCUGCUGAGCUGAGGGAUGCUGGAGCAACAGUACAUUCCAUCAAUACAGACACGAUCCACAGACCAAGAAAAUAGGACCUGCUUUGCCGUGCAAAAGCAGGGAAGCCCACCUGGAGGAAUGAACAUUUGAAAAACUGAGAUCUACUUUCAUCUAUAGCACGAUAGGCCUGAAAUAGAAUUCGGGUACCAAUCCAUCCUGUUUUGUUUGACAUCCUCAGAGCCCUCUGAAGUGAACCAAAGUGCAGGCUGGACUAAGAGAGUUAACCAGCUCUCUCCUCUGAAAUAUAAUUAUGAGUUUCCUACCAAGGCUCAUGCAGCUGAAUGCAGCCAGGACACUCCCGGGCCACCUCUGACUUCAGGGCUUUCGUUGUUGUUUUUGCUGCCCAGACUAACAUGACUUUUCAUACAUGACCUAGGGCAGACUCCUUUCCAUAGCUGAGCACUGUUCAUCACCAGAGCUGCUGAGGGCCAAUGAGUUCAGCUUUUCAUCUCUGGCCUGGACACUACAGUAGCUGAAUCCCACUUCGUGGCUGGAUGAUUUGGAAGAAGGCCUUACAGCAGCUGGAGCCCCGGCUUCCUCAUCUGUCAGCUAAAGGGGAUCGGAUCGUCACUCCCGUACCUUGGGGACUUGAGCACUGGCCUUUGGCAGCCAUGCUCCCUCAAGGAAAUCACCAGGUCUUCGGCAGUCUGAUUCACUCAUCCGUUAAGGAGGAACAGCAACAGCAAAUAUGAACUAAUACAGAAGACCACACUUCAAAGUUUUAAAAACUGAGAACAUUCGAAAACAGUCACCUGUGAACUCAGCUAGAUCCUCAGCUCUCGGCCCCAUCUGUAUCCACGGAGCUUGAGUCUUGACUUCAGGGUAGAGGGAUUGCAGGGGAGGGGGACGAGCACAAAGAAAGUCAGGCCAGCAGUUCUAGGACCCAAAGGAUUUGAAGGCCUGGGGACAGAGACUGCCCGCCGGUCAGUAAGCACUGGCCCAUGGCUCCCUGGAGCCGUGCAGCAAUGAUUCAGGAAAAGGCUGACAAGGGUAUUAGCAAUGUGGGUUUUUUUUUUAAUCCUGAGUCCAGAGAAAAUGCACGGUCAGGAAUAAAGGCACCCAAGAGAGCACGGAGAAGGAGAAAUAAUCAGAAUUAGCCAAAGGGCGGGCGGCAGAAGCUGGGGCAACACCGCAUGCAGAGACUCAAAAUCCCCAUCAGGACCCCAGGCUAGAGAGGUGGCUGGCAAGCUGGCAGUCCAGGCCAGGAGGACAAGGAAACCUGGCCCCCUGGAACCUGGCGAGCAGACAGAAUAGACAAUGGAAAAGAAGCCAUCUCCAGGGCUCUGGAUGCAGGCCUUAGGGCUGGGGGGAGGCCAAGAGACUGUCAGCUACUGCAGAAAGGCUGCCCCGCAGGCAGGAGCCUCCACACCACCCUUCAAGGCUGAAGUGACACAAGGAUGACAGAAACUAUGACCGGGGAAUUUGCCUGGGCUCUUCCCAGGAAAUUGCACAGCGCAUAUCAGGGUGUUCCCAGAGGUGGUCUCAAGACCUGCUGGGUGGACGGAUUUUGAUGAGCUAGGAGUGGAUAUCCAUUUACAGGGACUGUGGAAUUGAUAAACUUCUUACCUGAUGUCUGCCUAUAACAAAUCAUUUUUCCCCUUUUAAGAAGCAGCCCUGGUUCUGAGUGUGUGUGUGUGUGUGUGUGUGUGUGUGUGUGUGUGUGUGUGUGCUCGCACAUGCUUGAGGGCAUGCAUAUGUGUUAGGGGAGGACAGAAUUAAUACAUCAGCUCCUCAUUCCACUGCAGACUCCAAAUUAAUGGAGUAUAAAUUAAUGACAAGUGAAAUGUGUGUGAUAUCCUGAUGCCCAGUGGGUCUCCAGUGCCCCUGACUCUGGGUCCCUAGGCAAAGUGCUUCCCUGAACUGCUGUGCUAUGAGAUAAAUAUAAAAGGACAAGUCUGGAUCACCAGCUCCCCCUUAGCAUGUGGCUUUUUCCUUUAUGAAAGGCCUUAUAUGGAAGCAACUGCCGGUGUUAACAGCACAGUAUAGAAUUCUAGUCUCCAUGUAUUAAAACUUUCACUUGCUGAAUACAAUAUUUAUUUUAACAUAAUCUCGGUACACUCAUUUUAUUCUUCCAUACUUUGGAAGAUCCUCAAUAAAUAAAGUCCCUGGGGCCUCUCUUACUCUGUGACCUCAGGAUUUCAAUCCCAGUUUCUAUCAAUGGAGGUAAAUUGAUAUCUAGGAUCCAGACAAGAUAAGGAAGCAGAAGAGAUCCCCCCACAACUGUUGAUUGUCCAAACCCGUCUGUGGAAGGCUUUACCCUACAGUUACUGAUACAGAGAGCCCAGAGGAGGGUUUCCAAGAACUGCCAUGCUCCUUCCCAGUUCCUCUGUCUCAUCAGACCUGCACAGUGUUGGGGUCACUGGCUGAACAAACACCUGUCCUGUUUGUACCCCACCCUGAGACACCAAGUAAAGUCAGGAAUCAGCGGGACCCCUCAUUUCCACAGCCCACACUCUAUGGGUCACCUAUGUAAACAUCAAACCCAAAUCACAGCCCCCCAAAUUUAAUUUAUUUCUACCUAAACAAGUUCUUUUAUCAUAAAGCAAUAAAUUUGUCUUCGUGCUA